rnacentral:rRNA from 1 species
GACAGAGGGGGCAAGCGUUGCUCGGAAUUACUGGGCGUAAAGCGCACGUAGGCGGCUUCUUAAGUCGGUGGUGAAAUCCUGGAGCUCAACUCCAGAACUGCCUUCGAUACUGGGAAGCUCGAGUCCGGGAGAGGUGAGUGGAACUGCGAGUGUAGAGGUGAAAUUCGUAGAUAUUCGCAAGAACACCAGUGGCGAAGGCGGCUCACUGGCCCGGUACUGACGCUGAGGUGCGAAAGCGUGGGGAGCAAACAGG